rnacentral:rRNA from 1 species
GGCAGCCGCGGUAAUUCCAGCUCCAAUAGCGUAUAUUAAAGUUGUUGCAGUUAAAAAGCUCGUAGUUGAAUUUCGGGAUUAAAGAAUCGGACAUGCCUUGGUAUGUACUGGUUUUAUUGGUUCUCACCUUCUAAAGAACCAUGAUGUCAUUCAUUUGAUGUUAUGGGGAAUUAGGACUGUUACCUUGAAAAAAUUACAGUGUUUAAAGCAAGCUUACGCUUGAAUACAUUAACAUGGAAUAAUGAAAUAGGACAUCAGAUUCUAUUUUGUUGGUUUCUAGGAUCGAUGUAAUGAUUAAUAGGGAUAGUUGGGGGCAUUAUUAUUCAAUUGUCAGAGGUGAAAUUCUUGGAUUUAUUGAAGACUAACUACUGCGAAAGCAUU